UACGGAGGGUGCAAGCGUUAUCCGGAUUCACUGGGUUUAAAGGGUGCGUAGGUGGGCUGGUAAGUCAGUGGUGAAAUCUCCAGGCUUAACUUGGAAACUGCCAUUGAUACUAUCAGUCUUGAAUACCGUGGAGGUCAGCGGAAUAUGUCAUGUAGCGGUGAAAUGCUUAGAUAUGACAUAGAACACCAAUUGCGAAGGCAGCUGGCUAAACUGUGAUUGACGCUGAGGCACGAAAGCGUGGGGAUCAAACAGG
rnacentral:rRNA from 1 species